UACGGAGGGGGUUAGCGUUGUUCGGAAUGACUGGGCGUAAAGCGCGCGUAGGCGGAUCAGAAAGUUGGGGGUGAAAUCCCGGGGCUCAACCCCGGAAUGGCCUUCAAGACUCCUGGUCUUGAGUUCGAGAGAGGUGAGUGGAAUUCCGAGUGUAGAGGUGAAAUUCGUAGAUAUUCGGAGGAACACCAGUGGCGAAGGCGGCUCACUGGCUCGACACUGACGCUGAGGUGCGAAAGCGUGGGGAGCAAACAGG
rnacentral:rRNA from 2 species